CCAGAUCCGAUCGUGGCACCCCGCCGCCCCCGCCUUCCUCUCCCUCGCUCAUCUUUCCCCCAGAUCCGAUCAAGGCACCGCCGCCACCCCCACCCACCACCGCCGACCUCUCCACCAUCUCCUCCCCGUCCCCCAUCGCGCCGCCAUCCACCUCGUCGCCUCCCAUCUCCUCCCUCCCCCACCAUCCCCUUUCGCCCCUCCUUCCCCACCCCCACAACAAGAUCGCCGACGCGACGACAGCAAUGGCGGCGGUGUACCGGGCGGAGGACAACCACGACUACCUCUUCAAGGUCGUCCUCAUCGGCGACUCCGGCAUCGGCAAGUCCAACCUGCUCUCCCGCUUCACCCGCAACGAGUUCACCCUCGAGUCCAAGUCCACCAUCAGGGGGGGUCGAGUUCGCCACCUGCUCCCUCUAUGUCGACGGCAAGGUCGUCAAGGCCCAGAUUUGGGACACUGCCGGCCGUCCCUAUCCCCGUCUGCUCGGCAACAGACAUAGCGUAUGCUUGACCAGCUCACUGACCUCCAAAGGAAGGAACAAAUGAUGUGUGAAGCGAAUAAGUGCCUUUGAAGAAGAGAGCUCUAGGUUGAAGUUAAAAGAAGGGAACGCUUCAUCUUUGUAGCUAGUUUUAUGUUCCUGGGUGUUGUACGAGAGCGGCGAUGGUAUGGACGAGCUCGCCUGCUCCUGGUAGGCAUACCAACGGGACAGCGACGUGUUUCAGCUUGUAUUAAAUGUGACCGUAUAGAAACAGGAUUGAUACGUCCAAUACAAACGUGGCAUACGCAGACAACGCCGUCUAAGCUAACGGUGGUCGGUGGUCCAGCUUGCACCUGUUCCGUUUGUACAAGGCUGUUUCAGCUUCAUGGGCGGAAAGCAUCCGCAAAACGUGCUAACAAGGCAAGUGAAAAAAUUUAUGUUCCUGGGUGUUGUACGAGAGCGGCGAUGGUAUGGACGAGCUCGCCUGCUCCUGGUAGGCAUACCAACGGGACAGCGACGUGUUUCAGCUUGUAUUAAAUGUGACCGUAUAGAAACAGGAUUGAUACGUCCAAUACAAACGUGGCAUACGCAGACAA